UUUGAGAGAAAUUGAAAUGUAUUUUCUGGUAUUAUCCCUCUCUCACCCGAACCCUCUCCCUCUCUUACCCUCUUGAUGUAUUUCAACUUGAGUUGUGAAAAUUGGAGCUUGAUUUGAAGCUUGUGGGUUGAAAGAAAGGUGUUGAAGGCUUGAGGCUUAAUUGUGCAAGUGUUUGAGGAUUACCGGCACCUGAUCAGGAGCACCCGGGGAUUCGGAAUCUCCUUCUAUAGCUGGACAACAGGAAAGGGUAAGGCAUUAGCUGAUCAGCCAUGAGUUUCAGGAGCAGACGAAGAAUGUACAUGUUCACGCCACUUCAGACCAAGCGGGUUAUGGGUCUAACAGUGUUGACUUUUGUAUUCUGUUUUGCCGCUUAGGUCGGCUAGUAAGAAAGAACUUGUAAUAAGUUUGUAAAUAUUUUUGGGAUCCCAACUAUUUUGAAAAGUUUAAAUAUAUUACAAGUUUAUUUUCAGUCUGUUUAAUAUAAAAGUUUAAAUUCUGCGCUAUUUUAAUUAGUAAUCCCGAUUAGGGGAUUAGGGUUUCGUAAGCAUUUUGGGUAGCGUGCCUAAUUAUUUAGGGCGUUACAGCUUGCUAUCUUGGAAAGCAUCAUAAACUUCAUUUUUCUAUCUCAGAAACAGUUUAUACAACCCCACUUAAACUCUUACAUACUGAUCUAUGGGGCUCUACCCCUAUAGACUCUUUCAAUGGCUAUAUAUAUUAUUACAUAAGCUUUGUUGAUGCUUAUUACGCAUGGAUUUAUCUUUUUAGGUACACAUAGAUUUAUGUUCUUAAAAUAAAAGAUGAGGCUCUUCCUACUUUUAAAAAGUUCAAAACACAAAUUGCACUUCAACUUAAUU